CAUACGUAUGACUCCUGUGAGCAG
rnacentral:piRNA from 1 species